rnacentral:rRNA from 1 species
UACGUAGGGGGCAAGCGUUGUCCGGAAUUAUUGGGCGUAAAGAGCGUGUAGGCGGUCCGGUAAGUCAGCUGUGAAAGUCAAGGGCUCAACCCUUGAAAGCCGGUUGAUACUGUCGGGCUAGAGUCCGGAAGAGGCGAGUGGAAUUCCCGGUGUAGCGGUGAAAUGCGCAGAUAUCGGGAGGAACACCAAUGGCGAAGGCAGCUCGCUGGGACGGUACUGACACUGAGGUGCGAAAGCGUGGGGAGCAAACAGG